rnacentral:rRNA from 1 species
CUACACAUGCAAGUCGAGCGCACCUUCGGGUGAGCGGCGGACGGGUUAGUAACGCGUGGGAACAUACCCUUUUCUACGGAAUAGCCUCGGGAAACUGAGAGUAAUACCGUAUAAGCCCUUCGGGGGAAAGAUUUAUCGGGAAAGGAUUGGCCCGCGUUAGAUUAGAUAGUUGGUGGGGUAAUGGCCUACCAAGUCUACGAUCUAUAGCUGGUUUUAGAGGAUGAUCAGCAACACUGGGACUGAGACACGGCCCAGACUCCUACGGGAGGCAGCAGUGGGGAAUCUUAGACAAUGGGCGCAAGCCUGAUCUAGCCAUGCCGCGUGUGUGAUGAAGGUCUUAGGAUCGUAAAGCACUUUCGCCAGGGAUGAUAAUGACAGUACCUGGUAAAGAAACCCCGGCUAACUCCGUGCCAGCAGCCGCGGUAAUACGGAGGGGGUUAGCGUUGUUCGGAAUUACUGGGCGUAAAGCGUACGUAGGCGGAUUGGAAAGUUGGGGGUGAAAUCCCAGGGCUCAACCCUGGAACUGCCUCCAAAACUAUCAGUCUAGAGUUCGAGAGAGGUGAGUGGAAUUCCAAGUGUAGAGGUGAAAUUCGUAGAUAUUUGGAGGAACACCAGUGGCGAAGGCGGCUCACUGGCUCGAUACUGACGCUCAGGUACGAAAGUGUGGGGAGCACACAGGAUUAGAUACCCUGGUAGUCCACACCGUACACGAUGAACGCCAGUCGUCGGGCAGUAUACUGUUCGGUGACACACCUAACGGAUUAAGCAUUCCGCCUGGGGAGUACGGUCGCAAGAUUAAAACUCAAGGAAUUGACGGGGGGCCCGCACAAGCG